rnacentral:rRNA from 1 species
AACGGCGAGUGAAGCGGCAAAAGCUCAAAUUUGAAAUCUGGCUCCUUCGGGGUCCGAGUUGUAAUUUGUAGAGGAUGCUUCGGGUGUGGCCACGACCUAAGUUCCUUGGAACAGGACGUCAUAGAGGGUGAGAAUCCCGUCUUGGGCCGUUGGUCCACGCCCGUGUGAAGCUCCUUCGACGAGUCGAGUUGUUUGGGAAUGCAGCUCUAAGCGGGUGGUAAAUUUCAUCUAAAGCUAAAUAUUGGCCGGAGACCGAUAGCGCACAAGUAGAGUGAUCGAAAGGUUAAAAGCACCUUGAAAAGGGAGUUAAACAGCACGUGAAAUUGUUGAAAGGGAAGCGCUUGCGGCCAGACUCGAGCGCAGGGUUCAGCGGGUGCGUGUCACCCGUGCACUCCCUGUCGCCCGGGCCAGCAUCAGUUCUAACGGCCGGUCAAAGGCCCCCGGAAUGUGUCGUCUCUCGGGACGUCUUAUAGCCGGGGGUGCAAUGCGGCCCGUCGGGACUGAGGAACGCGCUUCGGCUCGGAUGCUGGCAUAAUGGCCGUAAGCGGCCCGUCUUGAAACACGGACCAAGGAGUCUAACAUCCACGCGAGUGUUCGGGUGUCAAACCCGUGCGCGCAGUGAAAGCGAACGGAGGUGGGAGCCUUAGGGCGCACCAUCGACCGAUCCUGAAGUCUUCGGAUGGAUUUGAGUAGGAGCGUGGCCGUUGGGACCCGAAAGAUGGUGAACUAUGCCUGAAUAGGGUGAAGCCAGAGGAAACUCUGGUGGAGGCUCGCAGCGGUUCUGACGUGCAAAUCGAUCGUCAAAUUU